UUCCUUCAAAUUAAACGUGUCCUUCAAGAUUCAGAACAGAUAAGGAACGGAAUGGAGAAAGGAAGGAAGAAAAGAAACACAUGCAAAAUGAGGAAACUGAGGACCACGGAAGUGGAGCAUCCUGCCUGAGGUCACCCAGCUACCGAGGUAGUACAACUAGGAAUUGAAUAAAGCCCUUCAGACUCCACCUCCAAUGUACUUCCCACUCCAGCGUGCUAGGACAUAUGAUUCUGCCCACACAUGAUUCCUACCAGCUCCUAAGAGAAGGGCCA
rnacentral:lncRNA from 1 species